rnacentral:sRNA from 1 species
AGGGAUGACUGGUGACAGAGUGAGGGAAUGACUGGUGACAGAGUGAGAGAGGGGUGACUAGUGACCGAGUGAGGGAGGGAGUGGGUGACUAGUGACAGAGUGAGGAAGGGGGUGACACAGUGAUAGUCACCCCAUUCCUCCCUCUGUCACUAAUCACCAACUCCCUCACUCUCACUAGUCACCCCUUCCCUCCCUCACUCUGUCACUAGUCACACCCUCCCUCUCUCUGUCACUAGUCACACCCU